AUGGCGUCGCAGAAGCGCUUCUCGCUGCCGGUGGCGCUCGUGUUCCUCCUCGUGCUGCUGUUCGUCGCCGGCGCAGGCUUCAAGCUUCAUCACAAGGAUUGCAACCCGUGGGUGUCACGCGCGAGCGAACUAUCCGAGGAUUCCAGGUCCAUGCCCCGCAAACUGUUGCGCGUAGCCGUCCACCGAGAAUCCGAGGAGCCGUCGCCGGGCGGCUCGGCUCUGCCGAGGGGCAUCGUGCAAGCCACGUCCGACCUCGAGAUGGUGCCCAUGGUCGGCGACCCCGAGCAGCAGCAGGGCGGCGGCAGGCCGUCCAAGAGCCUCCUCGCGAUCCCGGUGGGCAUCAAGAACAAGGCGGCCGUCGACAAGCUCUGGGGCGACCUCGAGUGGUCGCGCCGCGCGGUGCACGUCUCGGCGCCCGGCCAGACCAAGUGGUGGUUCGCCAAGAGGUUCCUGCACCCGGACGUGGUCGCGGCGUACGACUACGUCUUCCUCUGGGACGAGGACGUCGAGGUGGACGCCUUCGACCCGCUCGUGUACCUCGACGCCGUCAGGAGAGAAGGGCUCGAGAUAUCGCAGCCGGCGCUGGACCGCCGGUCGGAGAUCCACCACGGCAUCACGACGCGCGCGCUGCCGAGGCCCGGAGCCGAAGGAGGCGGCGGCGUGCACAGGCGGUUCUACAAGCCGGCGGCCGGCUGGGGAGGUGGAGAGUGCGACGGCAGCAGCACGGGGCCGCCGUGCGCCGGGUGGGUGGAGAUCAUGGUCCCGGUGUUCUCCCGCGCGGCGUGGCGCUGCAGCUGGGGCAUGGUGCAGAACGACCUGGUGCACGCGUGGGGCCUCGACUACAAGCUCGGCUACUGCGCGGAGGGCGACCGGACGCUCAAGGUCGGCGUCGUCGACAGCGAGUACGUCCUCCACAGGGGCGUCCCCACCCUCGGCGGCGCCGAGGGCAAGGCCGCCGCGUUCCGGGCCGCCGUGAGGCGGCGAUCGUUCACCGAGAUGCAGAUAUUCAACAGGAGAUGGAAGGAGGCCGCGGCGGACGACGCAUCCUGGACAGACCCUUACCCGUAG
rnacentral:rRNA from 1 species